UGCAGCAUAGUGUAGUGGCUUGCAUGUUGGACUAUGACUUUGGAGACCAGGGUUCAAAUCACUGCUCAGCCA